GGGUGCUGCUUCAUACUCUGCUGGUGCUCCUGGGCCAUCUUGUGUCAAACAAACGCUGUAAAAACUACUGAAAUUCUACCAUAGUUUGAGGUAAACUCGGGAGGUUUUCAUUUCUUAUUUAAAUUUGUAUAAACACUCCUUUCUGUGUGUGUGAGUGUGAGUGAGUGUGAGUGUCAUUCGGACUGGAUUCUGUCUGCAUCCGAUUCCAUGAGCUGAAGCCUUAUUUUCCCACUGAACAUUAUCUCUGUUAAAUUAUUUUAAUUUAAUUAAAAACGACCUCCAUAGGUACUGUUUACAGCUGCCACUCUACUGUUUGCUGUAGGUCUCAGGUGCGGCUCAGUUUGUACUACAGAUGGACAAGCACAAGCUAGAAGCUUUUGUGUACUUUUAAAGGUUUUUGUUUUUAUCAAAUGUUUUGGUUAAGACUAACUGUGGACUAAACCAAAAUCUUGUAAAGUGGGGGUGUGUAUGGCUGUCCUGGGGCACGGGGUGUUGGGGUUGGGACUGCAGUCAUUGCUAAUAUUAGGUGACUCCAGGGUUGGGAGUAUUUUGGUUAGUUGUAAUAUUAAAGAUGUAUUUUUAUAAUGAUUUUAGGAUUGGUGUUUUGGAGUGCGUUUAUUGCCGUUUGUGAGGAAGUACGAUGGAGAAAUGUUUCUGUGACAAGUGUGUGACUGGGCGUUUUUACGGGAUGUGACUGUUCUGUGGUUGGCCAGUCAGGCUGUUCUUAUGACACAUGAGAUCUGUGAGGUGCUGCUGCCUCUGCACUCCUACAGGGCCCAUCUGCGUACUGGUUCUUGUUCCACCAAUUGCCUUGUUUUUAUGCCCGCUCUAUGACCCUGGUUCAAGCCUGUAUUUGAGCACAGUAAAAUCAUUAGGAUACACUUGAAGUCUGCCGCUAUAGCUGGUACUCAGAGGCUCCGUGACAUCCUUGUUGUUUUCCUCUCCAAUUGGCCAGUGGCUGUAGUGUUCUAGUGACUGUUCUUUUGCACCCUGUGCUGAUGCAGGUUAGCUGUUCUAUCACACCCUGUGCUGAUGCAGGUUAGCUGUUCUAUCACACCCUGUGCUGAUGCAGGUUAGCGGGUUAGCCACAGAUGAUACAGUGUGCACUGCGAGGACCAAUCAGAACUAAUGUCCACAAUUUUACCUUUUUAUCCCCUUACAUUACAGCCCAGUAGCCUGUGGGAGAAACCACGCCUUAAUGAAGUCUCUCUUCUUAUAUUACAGCCCAAUAGCCUGUGGGAGAAACCACGCCUUAAUGAAGUCUCUCUUCUUAUAUUACAGCCCAAUAGCCUGUGGGAGAAACCACGCCUUAAUGAAGUCUCUCCUUACAUUACUGCGCAAUAGGCCUUGGAAGUCUGACGUAACGCAGAGCAAAACCUUUCUCAUAUAUGGAUUUCUGGAUCAAAGCACAAUUUCUCUAUCGGGAAAAUGAAUGGCCUUUUCACAAAAAAACUCGUUUCUGCCACAGACCGUCUAAUUUUGUGAUGCGGAAGUCAGAACAGACCAUACAUGUGUGACGACACGACUUCUUAGGCCUGUAGAGCGCGCUGAUUGGCAGCGGUGUCCUGCUAAGUACUGGCGGAUUUCACCGGACGACAACAACUUCAUAUAAGCAAAUGAAGCAUUAAAUCGUUCUACAAACGCAACAAUUGCUUUCUAUAAAUGUUCGUAGUUACGAGCGUACUGUCAGAUUUGUGUACCAAAUGCAACAACAAAGAUGACUUUAUCUAUCCUGGGAUGGUCAGUCUCACGGUACGAACAAACACAUUCAUGCCCACAAUUUUUUUACCCUAUUGUGCUUGACAUCAGUUGCAGUUUGCCAUCGAUAGGCCACUGUUUACACGAAUGUAUUCAUGCCAGUUAAGAUUUUUUAAUCACAUGAGUCGGGAUGAUAAUUGAAUACAGACACACUGUCGGUGGCGUUAGGGUGGUCCUGUGGACAUUCCGUCACUAUGAAAGGGAAAGCAUUAUGGGAGGCUGAGUUUUAGCCUCUGUGACCUCAAAACACAGAACAUGACUUUUUUCCAAUUGAAAUCGUAUCAUAUUAAGUAUGUUGCUACAUUUUUAAACUAUGAGAAACAUGCUUUGAAUCCGGACCUCAACGUUACAUAGUUUUAUAUUUAGUUUCCCCCGCUAUAUUUAAUAGGUAGCAGUGAAGCAUCGUUCCCGAAACAUCAACUUUAUCUCCCUACAUGCUAUCUGCCACAAUGUUUUUUGUAUAUAUGUACUUGUGGGAAGUCAAGUCAUGAUAAUUCCCGCAACCUCUGGACUACAUCUCCCAUCAUCCUCCACUGCCAGCUGUCAGACAGCUCCUCGUGUGUUAUGUCAGUCUUGUGUUAUAAUAGUCUUCCUUUUCUUUGCGGUCGUUUUCACAGACGGACGCAAGAAGCCUGGUGCGGGAUUCUAAUUUCCUGCUAUUUAUAUAGUUUUCAACGUUAGGUCACCUGCUGCCUUUUUACUGCCAAAGAAACGAGCUUCAGGUCUCCUCCUGGCCUCAGAAAUCUUAGUGUGGGAUGUGAGUCAGAGCCCUUCCCGUUCUGAAGGAAGGGAUUCCAAUCGCUUAUUUUUCUCCAUCUUUUUCUUUUCCUUGCUCCACGUCUGUAACUCGUCUGUAACUGACGUAGCUUCAAACUGACGUUUGAAGGAGCAAGGGCAUUCCAUUUGCCUAAUUCACGUUUUAUCGAUUAAUAAUAAUAAUAAGAAGAAGCUUUUAUGUAUAGACCCAACUAACCCUAACACCUUUCUUGCAUAGCAUGGAGCUUGAAGUGAGGGGUGGGGCGAGGAGGAGGAAAAAAAGGGGAGAAAAUGAAGCGAUUGGAAAGAGCCCAGGCAGUGAAUCUACACGCACUGAGCACUUUAUUAGGAACAUUUUAACUUUAUUACACCAACUUAUUCAUGCUGACAGGAAGGUGACAGUAACGCAAAUAACUGCACAUUACAGUGGUAGGCAGGAGAACAUCUCUGAACACACAACGCAUCAUAACUCUUAAGUCGAUAGGCUGCAGCAGUAGAAAAUAAAAAUAAAAAACCUAAUACAGUGCUCGGUGAGUGUGUGUGUUUCACUGGCCUUCAAACAUGCAAGAUGAAAGAUGCCUUUUAUUCUUUGCAACUACAAUCAUCUGUAUAUUACCAUUUAAUAUAAUAAAGAGAUUAUGAUGCAUUGUU